GCUGAAGCAGUCAUUCCUAAGAGAACCGAACCCCUCAUCACCCAGGCCAAGACAAUCACUCCUGAGAGUACCAAGUCCCUUAGCACCCAGGCCUCAGUCAACAAAAAGACUCGGGCAACACAAAGGCAACUGAUAUUUUUCAGAGUAUGCAUAUUUGGUGUCUAGAAGGAAGGAAAUCCAGUGACAUCAUGGAGUUGGAUAUUAUUUUGUCUGCACUUGAGAAAAUCUUCCUGCAAUAUCAACAAAGAAUUGAAUCCACAGUUUGUAAAGAAGCUGUC